AAGCCAGCAGAGCAAGAGGGAGAGCUGCGCAGCCUUCACAGUGAUGCAUGAUGAGGGAAGGAAGGGAGCUCUUACGGAGCCCCUUCUGUCCCUCAUUCUGCUUUGCUGGGAAGCCAGCAGACCAAGAGGCACUGCACAGCUCUCCCUCUUGCUCUGCUGGCUUCAGCAGAGCAGCGCAGCGCCUCUUCAGUAAAGCGGGAGGAGGAAAGGAAGGGGCUCCGUAAGGGCUCCCUUCCUUUCCUCCUCUUGCUUCGCUG